rnacentral:rRNA from 1 species
UGGGGAAUAUUGGACAAUGGGCGCAAGCCUGAUCCAGCCAUGCCGCGUGUGUGAAGAAGGCCUUCUGGUUGUAAAGCACUUUAAGCGAGGAGGAGGCUACUUGGAUUAAUACUCUAGGAUAGUGGACGUUACUCGCAGAAUAAGCACCGGCUAACUCUGUGCCAGCAGCCGCGGUAAUACAGAGGGUGCGAGCGUUAAUCGGAUUUACUGGGCGUAAAGCGUGCGUAGGCGGCUUUUUAAGUCGGAUGUGAAAUCCCUGAGCUUAACUUAGGAAUUGCAUUCGAUAGUGGGAAGCUAGAGUAUGGGAGAGGAUGGUAGAAUUCCAGGUGUAGCGGUGAAAUGCGUAGAGAUCUGGAGGAAUACCGAUGGCGAAGGCAGCCAUCUGGCCUAAUACUGACGCUGAGGUACGAAAGCAUGGGGAGCAAACAGG